ensembl:lncRNA
CACUGCGUUUUAGCCUGGGUGACAGAAUGAAACCCUGUCUCUAAAAAUAAAUAAACAAAUGACUAGGUAGCUGCUGGAGUUUCAUCUGCUGCUGUAGGUUUAAUUUUCAUAGCUGACUUCUCUCUGUAAUAGGAGGGAUAAUGUCAACUUUGUAUGGUGGAUGUGUCAACUGGGAGGCUUCUUUUUAGGGUACACAGGCAGAAGGAGGGCCCUUCUAACUGCCAAACUGAGAAGAGCUUACCUACCUGGAUUGUUCCCAAGGCAGAUAAUUUUCUUUAGGGAAGAAUGACUCCUUCAAUUUUGGUUUUUAGUUUAGUUUUCCUUUAGUGACUGCUGCAGCUAGCCACUUUAUAUAUAAGAUUGGAGUAGGGAGAGUCACAGCAUCAACUGGCACAAAGUGGUUUGAUAGACUGUCUUUCAAUUACCCCUUUGAUAUCAGUCCUAUUUCCACUCUGCUUCUGCUCUUAGUCUAGAGCCUCUUAGACGCAUUCUUGGGAAAGAAGAUUUCACGUUUGCUAAAUUCUCAUUUGCACACGUUCCAGGUGAUGGUUUUCUUUAGUCUAUCUGCUAAUGAGUUCCCACCCCAUUGCUACUGUGGGAAAAACAAUCAGCCCAGGAUCCAAUUAAGAAUCCCAGCGCAGGCCGGAUGCAGUGACUUAUGCCUGUAAUCCCAGCACUUUGGGAGGCCAAGGCGGGCAGAUUACCUGAGGCCAGGAGUUCAAGACCAGGCUGGCCAACAUGGCGAAACCCCAUCUCUACUAAAAAUACAAAAAUUUAGCCAGGGAUGGUGGUGCACACCUGUAGUUCUAGAUACUCAGGAGGUUGAGGCAGGAGAAUCACUUGAACCCACGAGGCAGAGGUUGCAGUGAGGUGAGAUCGCACCACUGCACUCCAGCCUAGGUGAGAAAGCAAGACUCCUAUCUCAAAAACAAACAACAACAACAAAACAACAACAACAACAACAAAAACAAUGUAGGCCAGGUGUGGUGGCUCAUGCCUGUAAUCCCAGUACUCUGGGAGGCUGAGGUAGGAGGAUUGCUUGAGCCCAGGAGUUUGAGACCAGCCUCGACAAAAUAGUGAGACUCACCCCCCCAUCUCCACAAAAAACAUAAAAAAUGAAAUUAGCCUAGUGUGGUGGUGCACAUCUGUGGUCCUAGCUGCUCAGGAGGCUUAGGUGGGAGGGUCACUUGAACCAGAAAGGUUGAGGCUGCAGUGUACUAUGGUCAUGCCACUGCACUCCAGCCUGGGUGACAGAGACCCUGUCUCAAUACAAAAGAAUCCCAGGGCACAUCUUAGACAGCAGAGGGACAGGGUACCUCCAGAAAUAACUGAUCAAUAGUCUUUAUAACAGGUUAAUUUGUAUGUUAAAGUUACUGAUGGUCUGUGUUAAAAAUGAUUUAACUCCUUCCCUAUGUUAUAAGUGAAUGGUCAUCUAGUUACCUAAAGUUCCAAGUAGAUUUUCCUUCCAGAGGAGGCGGAGCUUGCAGUGAGCUGAGAUCGUGCUACUGCACUGCAGCCUGGGUGAAAGAGCGAGACCCUGUCUCAAAAAAAAAAAAAAAAAAA